rnacentral:rRNA from 1 species
AAGACACCUUCGGGUUGUGAG